UACGUAGGUGGCGAGCGUUGUCCGGAUUUACUGGGCGUAAAGCGCGCGCAGGCGGCAGUCUAAGUCCUCUGUGAAAGCCCCCGGCUCAACUGGGGAGGGUCACGCGAUACUGAUCGACUCGAAGGCAGGAGAGGGAAGUGGAAUUCCCGGUGUAGUGGUGAAAUGCGUAGAUAUCGGGAGGAACACCAGUGGCGAAGGCGACUUCCUGGCCUGUUCUUGACGCUGAGGCGCGAAAGCUAGGGGAGCAAACGGG
rnacentral:rRNA from 1 species